CAGCUUCUAAAUGACUGAUGCCAUCAAAGAUCUAUUGCCAGAAUCCUGUACGAACGAAACUUUUCACUAGACAAGUGGUAUGGGUGAUUUCUCUGUGUGGCAGUUGUACCAACGGUUACAGUACCAUGGAGAGCUUAUGGGAUAGCUCAGUGGUCAUAUGCUACGCCUGACCUUGACCUGGGUUCACUCCCUGUAUCCUACUUAAUGCAAGAAGAAAACUAACUCUUGCAAAUUGUUCUCUCACCUUCACUGGUGGGUCAAGGUGCAGAAGAACACAUGGGGGUGUUCUUUGCCCCCCAACACACACUAUGUGCAUAAAUAAAAUCCAAUAAAAGCUUUUAAAAAGAGAGAAUGUUGUGGAAUUGCCCCAGGGAUUCUUCUCUGCCGGUAUGGAUGGGCAAGAACCAGGAGGCACUGUUGGAACCACAGACUUCUCCACAAGAAUAAGGAGGCAGCUUCUGAUGUUUUCACUACUGCCUUUAAUUACCAGGAAGUUUGCCUACGAGGAACUAUGAAUGAGGUGGAAAAUCCUAAAGUCUCCACUGCCCUCCUCACCAGUGGUACUGGCAGCAUCCAAGAACUGGCCAUGAAGUCACUUCUACUUCCCAAGCUUGUGAGGCUGUAGACAUGGAUACUGUGUUUACCUAGGAAAAAGAAACAGUAGUGACCAGAACGUGAGUGGGAUAAGCUGGCUCCUGCUGUCUGAAACUGAUCUAUGCAGCAAGUUUUCAGCUGCCUGUCUUAGUGUGACGAGAUACCAGAGACAAAUAAAGGGAAGUCUCACUGUGGGCCACAGUU
rnacentral:lncRNA from 1 species